rnacentral:rRNA from 1 species
UACGGAGGGUGCGAGCGUUAAUCGGAAUUACUGGGCGUAAAGAGUGUGUAGGCGGUGCUCUAAGUCUGUUGUGAAAUCUCCCGGCUUAACCGGGAGGGUGCGGCGGAAACUGGAGUGCUUGAGGGUGGGAGAGGUAAGCGGAAUUCCUGGUGUAGCGGUGAAAUGCGUAGAUAUCAGGAGGAACACCUGUGGUGUAGACAGCUUACUGGACCACUUCUGACGCUGAGACACGAAAGCGUGGGUAGCAAACAGG